rnacentral:rRNA from 1 species
UAGGGAAUCUUCGGCAAUGGACGAAAGUCUGACCGAGCAACGCCGCGUGAGUGAAGAAGGUUUUCGUAUCGUAAAACUCUGUUGUUAGAGAAGAACAAUGACGUUAGUAACUGAACGUCCCCUGACGGUAUCUAACCAGAAAGCCACGUCUAACUACGUGCCAGCAGCCGCGGUAAUACGUAGGUGGCAAGCGUUGUCCGGAUUUAUUGGGCGUAAAGCGAGCGCAGGCGGUUUCUUAAGUCUGAUGUGGAAGCCCCCGGCUCAACCGGGGAGGGUCAUUGGAAACUGGGAGACUUGAGUGCAGAAGAGGAGAGUGGAAUUCCAUGUGUAGCGGUGAAAUGCGUAGAUAUAUGGGGGAACACCAGUGGCGAAGGCGGCUCUCUGGUCUGUAACUGACGCUGAGGCUCGAGAGCGUGGGGAGCAAACAGG